GCUGCUGGCCGGUUGGGCGCGGCUUUGCUGGGCUUGGUGGGCGCUCUGGGGGCCUGUGAGCAUGGCAGGCGGCUGGGCUGCAGCUCAAGUGUAGCAGUCCACAGAGCGGCCUGCAGGUGGCUGGCGCAGGAGGUGAGCAGUGAAGUCUGAAGAAGGCCAAAUGAUCAAGGUCACACACCUGGAAAGAACCCAGGCUGGACUCUGACUUUGUAGCUGGACAUUUGCUGUCCAUUUGAUGAGAAGGUACUGUUAAGCAGAUUUUACAGAGAAAGAAGGAGAGAGACAGAGAGAGACGUCUUCCAUCUAUUGGUUUACUCUCCAGAUCAUUGUGUUGGCCACAGCUGAGUUGAUCCAAAACUGGGGGGCCAGGAACUUCUUUGGGUCUCCCAUGUGGAUGCAGGGACCCAAGCACUUGGGCCAUCUACCACUGCUUUCCCACUCAUAUUAGCAGGGAACUAGAUCAGAAGUGGAGUAGCCAUGAUACAAACCAGUAACCAUAUGGGAUGUUGGUGCUGUGGGCAGAGGCUU